CGUGGACAAGCAGCGCCGCACGCCGCUGAUGGAGGCCGUGGCGCACGACCAGCUGGAGGCAGCGCGGUACCUGCUGCGGCGCGGCGGCUGCGUCUACAGCAAGGAGGAGGACGGCUCCACCUGCCUGCACCACGCGGCCAAAAACGGGAACCUGGAGAUGGUGGAGCUGCUGCUGAGCACGGGGCAGGUGGAUGUCAAUGCACAGGACAACGGGGGCUGGACCCCGAUCAUCUGUGGCUGAGCACAAACACAUCGAGGUCAUUCGGCGGCUGCUGACGCGCGGGGCCAACGUCACCCUGACCG